UGCUUUGGGACGGUCGACUGGCGAUAUCGUAUUACAUCCGGCGCGAAGGCCUAUUGUUUCGCAUUGGCAUAUGCGUGUUCCCCGUUUUGACGAUGGCUGGAUAAUUAUUGACGUGAGGAAUAAUAUGAAUUUAUGUGGCUGUGAAUAGACCUCGGGUUUUUGCUCGUUGUGAGGCGCUAAAAAUGUGUGAGUGUGCGUGCGCGUUUGUGCAGCUGGGACCCCACUUGACAAGUGCGGCAAUGGUGUAGGCGGACGGAGCAUUACGUGAAGCCAAGGGCAAGCUGCGACCUUGAACAUGCAGAGCAAGUUAUUUUUAGGCUAUGAUGACUCCUCGCACCCGUGCAUGUUGGGGCAUGCAGCGAGGUCGCCGCUAUAUAAGUGGGGAGGAUGUGUAAAGAGGCAGCAGUCUUCGCAUCGCUUCGGGAGUGUGCGGAGCUCGCUUCAAAAUGCCUAGAUGCGUGUUCUGCUUUUUUGAUCCUCAUGAUAUCGGUGAUGAUGAGCCAUUGGAAGAGAAUUCACCAUCUUCUCCAGACAUUUCACCUGGCACAUUGCAUGCUCACGUCGAGCGAUCACAUCCCUAUGUGGACAUUUCCUUCCUGCCUUUCUUUCAAACUGAUAGUGCAUUUCGAGGUACCGUCAAAGCGUUUGUGCUAUUGGCAUCUGUUCACGAUCAGGGAGUAGAGGACUUGCGACAAUAUUUAAUGAACCACCUCCACAAUAUAAUUGCUAUUUUGCGAGCGCAAAGAAUACCCUUUAGAUUUUGCAUUUGUUCUGACGUUCUAAUGAUGAAAGAAAAUCGAGGGGAUAUAACUGCACACAUAGCUCCUUUUAUGGCGCUUGCUCGCGAAGUCUACAGCGACGGAGCUAUUGCAAAUACUUUGAUGGACGUGAUUCAGGAGUCCACCGGGCGCAUUGAAAAUUACCAGCGUGAGGGUAGUGGGUUUGUAUCCACCGAUGUCCAAAAAGUUCAAAUGUGUAUUUCCACUGUGAAAACUAAAAAGUUUGGAUGCGAUGGGGUACUUCCCACAAAUUUGGCUAAACGCAGGAAUGUGUUAACGAAUAUCCAAUUACCAGCACGCAAGGAGGGUGAAUGUUUUAAAUACAAUACACUCGCUCUCCUGCAUCCACAGGAAAGGAAUUCCUGGAAAAAAUGUGAAAAUUAUGCAGCAGAUUACUGGUGGCCAAGCCGCUUCCCUGUUUUAUUCUCUGAUCUGGAUGAAUUUGAAGUCCAAAACGAGAUAUCCGUGUAUGUUUACGCCUAUGUCGAUCAGGGAGUGCACGUGUCGCGACCCGCAAAACUGGAAUUCGAAAAGAAAAUUCAUCUCUUGGAGGUUGAUGAGCAUUUUUUUGGAAUAAAGUCCCUCGAACGCUUGUUGACAACAAGAAGUAACCAUUUUGUAUGCGAACGCUGCACACGCUCUUUCGUGAAGGAAGAGAGCAUGGCGAAACAUCGACGCCUUUGCACGGACAUAAACGAAAUCCUGUUGGA